rnacentral:antisense_RNA from 1 species
CUUCACCGAGCCCAGCAGCAGCGGCUCGUCGGCGGGGCGGUCCUGGCCGUAGGUCGCCAGCAGCGCCUCGGCCUC